rnacentral:rRNA from 1 species
GAUGAACGCUGGCGGCGUGCCUAAUACAUGCAAGUCGAGCGAAUGGAUUAAGAGCUUGCUCUUAUGAAGUUAGCGGCGGACGGGUGAGUAACACGUGGGUAACCUGCCCAUAAGACUGGGAUAACUCCGGGAAACCGGGGCUAAUACCGGAUAACAUUUUGAACCGCAUGGUUCGAAAUUGAAAGGCGGCUUCGGCUGUCACUUAUGGAUGGACCCGCGUCGCAUUAGCUAGUUGGUGAGGUAACGGCUCACCAAGGCAACGAUGCGUAGCGGACCUGGGAGGGGGGUCGGCCACACUGGGACUGAGACACCGCCCAGACUCCUACGGGAGGCAGCAGUAGGGAAUCUUCCGCAAUGGACGAAAGUCUGGCGGAGCAACGCCGCGUGAGUGAUGAAGGCUUUCGGGUCGUAAAACUCUGUUGUUAGGGAAGAACAAGUGCUAGUUGAAUAAGCUGGCACCUUGACGGUACCUAACCAGAAAGCCACGGCUAACUACGUGCCAGCCGCCGCCGUAA